CCUACGGGCGGCAGCAGUGGGGAAUAUUGGACAAUGGGCGAAAGCCUGAUCCAGCCAUGCCGCGUGUGUGAAGAAGACCUUCGGGUUGUAAAGCACUUUCAGUGGGGAAGAAAGCCUUGGGGCUAAUACCCUCGAGGAAGGACAUCACCCACAGAAGAAGCACCGGCUAACUCCGUGCCAGCAGCCGCGGUAAUACGGAGGGUGCGAGCGUUAAUCGGAAUUACUGGGCGUAAAGCGCGCGUAGGCGGUCUGAUAAGCCGGUUGUGAAAGCCCCGGGCUCAACCUGGGAACGGCAUCCGGAACUGUCAGGCUAGAGUGCAGGAGAGGAAGGUAGAAUUCCCGGUGUAGCGGUGAAAUGCGUAGAGAUCGGGAGGAAUACCAGUGGCGAAGGCGGCCUUCUGGACUGACACUGACGCUGAGGUGCGAAAGCGUGGGUAGCAAACAGGAUUAGAUACCCUAGUAGUC
rnacentral:rRNA from 1 species